rnacentral:rRNA from 1 species
GACGAACGCUGGCGGCGUGCUUAACACAUGCAAGUCGAACGGUGAAGCGCCUUCCUUUUUGGUGGGUGUGGAUGAGUGGCGAACGGGUGAGUAACACGUGAGUAACCUGCCCCCUUCUUCUGGAUAACCGCAUGAAAGUGUGGCUAAUACGGGAUAUUCUGGGUCUGUCGCAUGAUGGGUCUGGGAAAGAUAUUGUUUCGGUGGGGGAUGGGCUCGCGGCCUAUCAGCUUGUUGGUGGGGUGAUGGCCUACCAAGGCGGUGACGGGUAGCCGGCCUGAGAGGGUGGACGGUCACACUGGGACUGAGACACGGCCCCGCCUCCUACGGGAGGCAGCAGUGGGGAAUAUUGCACAAUGGGCGCAAGCCUGAUGCAGCGACGCCGCGUGAGGGAUGGAGGCCUUCGGGUUGUGAACCUCUUUCGCCAGUGAAGCAGGCCUGCCUCGUUUGUGGGUGGGUUGACGGUAGCUGGAUAAGAAGCGCCGGCUAACUACGUG